AGCGAAUCCUAAAAAGCCAGUCUCAGUUCGGAUUGCAGGCUGCAACUCGCCUGCAUGAAGUCAGAAUUGCUAGUAAUCGCGGAUCAGCAUGCCGCGGUGAAUACGUUCCCGGGUCUUGUACACACCGCCCGUCACACCACGAGAGUUUACAACACCCGAAGUCGGUGGGGUAACCGCAAGGAGCCAGCCGCCGAAGGUGGGGUAGAUGAUUGGGGUGAAGUCGUAACAAGGUAGCCGUAUCGGAAGGUGCGGCUGGAUCACCUCCUUU
rnacentral:rRNA from 1 species